rnacentral:sRNA from 1 species
GCGUCCCUAACACAUGCAAGUCGAGCGGUAACAGGUGUAGCAAUACAUGCUGACGAGCUGUCGCACGGGUGAGUAACGCUUGGGAAUCUGCCUGUUAGUGGGGGACAACCCGGGGAAACUCGGGCUAAUACCGCAUACGCACUAUGGUGGAAAGCCGGGGACCGCAAGGCCUGGCGCUUACAGAUGAGCCCAAGUCGGAUUAGCUAGUUGGUAGGGUAACGGCCUACCAAGGCGACGAUCCGUAGCUGGUCUGAGAGGAUGGCCAGCCAGACUGGGACUGAGACACGGUCCAGACUCCUACGGGAGGCAGCAGUGGG